AUGAGCCCAAUAUUCACCUGCAUCACAAUCCUUUGUCUGCUGGCUGCAGGUUCUCCUGGUGAAGAAGUCACCCAGACUCCAAAACAUCUUGUCAGAGGGGAAGGACAGAAAGCAAAAUUAUAUUGUGCCCCAAUAAAAGGACACAGUUAUGUUUUUUGGUACCAACAGGUCCUGAAAAAAGAGUUCAAGUUCUUGAUUUCCUUCCAGAAUGAAAAUGUCUUUGAUGAAACAGGUAUGCCCAAGGAAAGAUUUUCAGCUAAGUGCCUCCCAAAUUCACCCUGUAGCCUUGAGAUCCAGGCUACGAAGCUGGAGGAUUCAGCAGUGUAUUUUUGUGCCAGCAGCCAAUCCACAGUGUUAAAUAUUAGCUAA